AUUGAACGCUGGCGGCAUGCUUUACACAUGCAAGUCGAACGGUAACAGGCCGCAAGGUGCUGACGAGUGGCGAGCGGGUGAGUAAUGCAUCGGAACGUGCCCAGUCGUGGGGGAUAACGCAGCGAAAGCUGCGCUAAUACCGCAUACGAUCCAUGGAUGAAAGCGGGGGACCGUAAGGCCUCGCGCGAUUGGAGCGGCCGAUGUCAGAUUAGGUAGUUGGUGGGGUAAAGGCCCACCAAGCCAACGAUCUGUAGCUGGUCUGAGAGGACGACCAGCCACACUGGGACUGAGACACGGCCCAGACUCCUACGGGAGGCAGCAGUGGGGAAUUUUGGACAAUGGGCGCAAGCCUGAUCCAGCAAUGCCGCGUGCAGGAAGAAGGCCUUCGGGUUGUAAACUGCUUUUGUACGGAGCGAAACGGUUCUCUCUAAUACAGGGGGCUAAUGACGGUACCGUAAGAAUAAGCACCGGCUAACUACGUGCCAGCCGCCGCCGUAAUAC
rnacentral:rRNA from 1 species